CUAUGAGCUAAAACGUUUAGUUUUUAAUAUGACGCACAGGAAAUAUUGUUGAACUAUACAGUCCUAUAUGCGGAUGGGAAAUAAAUGCAUGUUUACCUAAUACAGUUUUCAGUUAGAUAACUGUAGAAUAUUCGGGAUCACCCCUCUAACAUAAUAAGAUGAAUCAAGGAAGGCAAAUUAAGCUGACAGCUAUGACAAUGUAGUGAAGUAAGGGAGGAAGGGGGAACUACACGUCAAACGACGUGUGACUCCUUUUGAAAGGGCAAUGAAACAUCGUCGGCUUAGAUAUAUCCGCCCAUCAGGCAGGCUAGAUGAUUCUCCUGGCUGUUCAAAUGGUGAUCGUGCUAUCUACUAGAUACGGCAUUAACCAAAAGCUGUGAUUGAUCUAAAAGGAGCAUCGUAAGAUUUCUACAAAUAUAUCGACAACAAAAGUAAUCGUUAUCACAUUGAAGAUUUGUGCCAUUGCUUAGCAGAUCCAUGCAGGGGAACGAAAUCGCUUGUUCUGUAUGUGUCACGAAUCACAUUACCGUAAAACAAACGAUAAAACACACGUAUGUGUUACAGCCUAGUGACAGUGUUAAACAUUUGAUGAUACAUGUUGACGAAAUAAUCGGAAAACAUGUUCACAAGAAAAUACCUUUCUUGAUCCAUGUUGACGAAAUAAUCGGAAAACAUGUUCACAAGAAAAUACAUUUCUUGAUCCAUGUUGACAAAAUAAUCGGAAAACAUGUUCACAAGAAAAGACAAACGUGAACGGCAGAAACGACUACAUCAAUUCAAGUCAACGUGUUGCAGGUGUUCUAUGCAGGUAUUACCUAAGCGUACCCAGUUUGUGGCCGCAAUUUCAUGGAAAAUAGGUGUCGGGAUCAUUGCAGAUGUGUGCAUUCACAUGCAGAACGACUUGGAUACAAGAAUGGUAUGCGAUAAGCAGUUCUUGCAUAAAGGACCUUUUACUCUGUAAGAAAAUAAACCGCUGACGGAGAAAAGUGAACUUUAAUAAAAAGUGGAUUACUUUAUAAUAUUAUAGUUUACACGUUUUUCUGUAGACUGCAUAAAGGCGAUAGGAAAUCCCUUGAUUUUACAGUUUGUUAUCCGUUCAUUACUUUUUAUUUCCUCACAUUUGAGUAGAAUUGUUAGUCUAGCUCACUUCUCUUAUGAAAUAAUUGCACCUACCAAGAAAACAUAUUUUGUGGUUUUGUGCCAUAUAAAUAAUUAUAAUUUUACAAUAUAAAUCUUUAGAAAAAUGUAAUAUCUUUGUAAUUUGAUAUAAUUUGGACAAUGAAUUUAUGUGCAUCAGCCCAGAUCUUACGUCAUUUUUUAUUUAAUAAGCCUAAAGAUGAUUCCACGUUUAGCAUCACCCAAGGUCAGGGUCAGUAUGAUAUUUUCAGUAUUAUUUCAUACACGAAUCUUUAAAUGGCCGACUAAUAUUCCAUGCAAGUAUCCGUCCUUGUAUAUCAUUCAGUACGCCGAAAACUUUCACUUUCUAUGCUCAAGAUUAAUUAUAAGUAGUCAAAUUUGUGAAAGUCUUUUUCUUGUUAAGCAU